GCAGAAUCAAGGAAUUGGGAGGUAAGUG
rnacentral:piRNA from 1 species